AUUGAACGCUGGCGGCAGGCCUAACACAUGCAAGUCGAGCGGUGCGGCGGACGGGCGAGUAAUGCCUAGGUAUCUGCCUGGUAGUGGGGGAUAACGACCGGCAACGGGCGCUAAUUAAGAAUACUAUCCGAUGGGCGUAGGCCGGAUUAGCUAGUUGGUGGGGUAAAGGCCGACCAAGGCGACGGUCCGUAACUGGUCUGAGAGGAUGAUCAGUCACACUGGAACUGAGACACGGUCCAGACUCCUACGGGAGGCAGCAGUGGGGAAUAUUGGACAAUGGGCGAAAGCCUGAUCCAGCCAUGCCGCGUGUGUGAAGAAGGUCUUCGGAUUGUAAAGCACUUUAAGUUGGGAGGCGUUACCAACAGAAUAAGCACCGGCUAACUUCGUGCCAGCAGCCGCGGUAAUUC
rnacentral:rRNA from 1 species